CCGUGCCAUGCGGGCACGUAUGCUCGUGUUACAUUUGCAUACGCGAACACAACCGAGCAAAGACAGGUGUACAACAAAGGGAUACCUUUUGUGCGGGCCUUUCCGUACGUCCACGACCUUUUAAGCGAUACGCCUUGUCAAGCUGGCUGCGUCAACUUUUCGCAAUCGGACACGACGAUAUAGUUCGUGACGCUGGCAACUAUUUGGAAAAAUCUGGGACAUUCUGUAUAUGUAGCGUGAACGAGCCAAAUGACACACCCUGUAUAACACGUCCAUUUCUCAAGUAACAGGAAUCUUGUUCGGUUAUUUCAAAGAGAGUGCGUAAUUACCCUCGGUUCUUCAUUUCAACUCGUCGAGUAAGAGCUACCGGCCUGUAGCUUCCGAACCCUUUGUCGCUACUCGAAACAAUACCAUGCAACGCGUCGUGCGACAUAUGGCUAACAACGGGAAAGGAAUAAAGUGGAGAAUCGAUACCUUGGAGAGAUAACAAUUUGCGUCAGAGUCAGACGUCACAUUGUUCGAUCGUUUUACACGAUAUUUGAAAUUUACGGUGCUGCAUUCGUGCGACGACUUAUGCUGUGUCAUGGAGCUCGAGGUCUGCUCUUAUCCAACUGCGGUUACAAUGGAAUAAACAUAUCUUUAACAAACCAGAGAACAGUUGAAAAAUUUCUGCAAUACUUGCAAAGGCAAAUACUCCUUCUAAAUGUAAGAUUUUUAAUUCGAACUCCAAUUAAUUGUAAGAAAUAAUCUGUAAUCCGAUAAACCAGUAAUCACCCAAAAAUCAGAAUUAUUGUAUUCCUAUAUUAUCAUAAAUUCAAACUCCGCUCUACAACAUUGAUCCUUUUAUAAAGCAUUUAAUUAAUUGGAUUCUUUAGACACGAAUGCAUAGCAGCCAAAAAGAGAAAAUACUUUAAAUCGAACAAAUCAAAAUUUUCUUUACAAAUGUUGACUUUCAAUGAAGAAAGUCGAUUUCAAAUCCAUAAACAUCGGCAAUGAAUAAAAUAUGAGAUUAAAAAAUAACAAUUUGUUUCUGUUAUAGCAGUCUAGUAUAGCCGUCUUAUUGCACUUUUUUCCAACAACUUUCGAUCAAUUAAGUAUUUUACAUUUUACUUGGCUUGCUAGAAUUUGUCUUAGGAAUUAUCCGCGCAAAGCUAAUACAUUGGAAAUCUGGAUAAUCUAUACGAAAUGUUUCUCUUUCAUUCAAUAUAGCGUACGAAUUUUUUCCUCCCAACUAAUUAUCGUACGAAUUGUUUAGAAAAUAUGAUAAAUUGAAAUUAUUCUAUUUGAAGUGAUUGUAUAUUUAAUUUAGUUUUAGAACAUUGGUACAGUAAACAUUUGUAUAGUAAACAUUCGGAUAAUGGAGGUUCUACUGGAAAAUGGAAUAUAUAUUUUUGUGGAUAAGGAUCGACUAUGCGGAGAAUAUUAUCGUGCUUUCUCGUUAACUUUAAGGGUGCCGAUCUCGUGUUCGAUAUUUAAGAAACGGGUUUCGUUACAGCGUAGACACGGCUACCUGCAACAUUUUCUAUAUUCUUCUACUUUCAUUCGUUCGAUACAAUAUGGAGCUCAAGCCUUAAUAAAUGAAUUUAAUCGACCGGAAUUCACUUAAUUGGAUGCUGGAUACACGUUUCGCUCGAUACUCCCAAAGAGGAGACGUAGGAUAUAAACGAGGACGAGCGAGGUUUCACAUCCUUGUACGAACCAAAUGGCUGAUUACUUUUAAAAAGGAGCAGUCAUUCGGCAGCAUGCCAGCAUCUACCAUUACCGAUGCUCGUGAUUUUAUCGAGAACGUCUAGCACAAUGUUGUACCGUGAACGAUCUGGGUUAAACAUACAUUCCAUACGUACCGCUACUUGACACUGUACUUUUCGUCAGGAAACAAGGGGAACAGGGGAGCAGUUGCCUAAUAGGUAUGUAUGGUUCUGGCCAACCUAAAUUGUAUCUCACAAGUUUCUUAUUAUAGAAUACAAACGAUAGAUAAUGAUAGAAACGUAUGAAAUACCUAUUCUUAAGUCCAAUCAUAUAGUAAUGAACGAAAGUAUUGGCACAGCCAACUUCCUUUCUAAAAUCCUGUACAAAUUUGUAAAAAAUGUGAUAUUUUAUUUAAUUCUCUAGAAAUAAAACAGCAUCUUAAUUACAAAUUCGAAAAUAAUACACAUGUAUAGACCGAAUAUUUCAUAAGCGCAACGAAUGGAAUCAUUAUUUUGUAUAAGUAAUAUUUCUCAACUUUGUCAGGUGAAACUUAGGUAUUCUAAUUAACUUGAAAUCAUAAAUACGUGUUGAACUUGGACCCGUUAAUGGAAACCAUGCAAAUAACGAUUUCUAAAUUUCAGUUCCCUUAAUUAUCUCUUAUAAUUCUUAAAUAAGCAAGUAAAAGUGAAAUUUAAUGACAAAAAUAAUAAUAUAUGUAUCUGUGAUGUACAUCAUACGACACGUAUCGUUCAAAGCUGACGUCUUAAUAUGCAACGACAAUUAUCCACUUCAGAGCGAAUUUCUAUUGAAAAAGCAACAACUAGAAAGAACGUCUAUAAUUCUUACUAAUAUUUCAACGUAAUCAACGGAAUGCGAAUGAAAAUUGGAGCGGAACGAUCGUUAAAAGAAUAUUAAUUUAAUAUCGACCUAAAUUUCACACCAGCUUCGUUUCUGCAGCUGAUUUGUUUAUUGUUUAACUUGUCUAUCCCAUUCUUUGUCCUUAAGGCCAGUAUCACUGAGAAAAAAUUUAGAAAAUCAGUGAUUGAUUGAAAAAUGAUUAGUAGCACUUUCAUUAACAAAGUUGUUUAUGAUAGUGUUAUAAUUAAAUUAUAAACAUAAUGAAAUCGUUAAAUUUAGGUGAAAAAAGAACCGACAAAAAAUGUUAAAUAAACCUUUGAAAUUCCCUUUCAUACCCACGGUAUUAGAAAAUAAAAUUCAGCAAUGUAAAUUGUCUUGAAAAAUGCAAAUGUAAAAAGUUAUAUCAUGAUAAAUUAAAGUUAGAUCAAUUUCGUUGAAUGCGCAUGGAAGUAAAGAGGAGAAUAAGUGACAACCAGAGCGGAAUGUACGUAAUGGAGCAUACGAUGCGCUACAAAAAUGUAGGAGGGGCUUGGUUUUCGUAACAGAACGAAUAUGGAGCGAAAGUCAGUUUGGAUCUGUGCUCUAGCCUCGAACAUGUUCAACGUGAACGUGAACGUGAACUCUUUUAAGUCAGUGACACUGUAAGACAACGUUCUGAAUAAAUACUAAUAAAUUAUGUACAAAUUUAGUAUAUAUACAUAGGAAUAAAUAUAUGUAUUUUGCUGUAACGUAAGAAUAAGUAUGUAAUUUCAUCAGAUAA